UCUGGAAACUAGAGAUAGAAAUCUUUAGAAGAUUAUCAGAACGAACCAACAAAUAUGUACCAAACCUUUUGAGAAAUGAAUGGCAAUUUCGAGUAUCUUCAGAAGAAUUCAGUGGAAGCGUAACCAUACCGGGAUCGACGAAUGUUCUCUCGCCGUUUCUUCAACACAUAACCACCGAAUCCAACCAUACUCGCGGCUGCAAUCGAUCCAACAACAGCGAUUCCGGUUUUCUUUCCUCCUCCUCCGCCAUUUUCACCACCUACGGAUGCUUCUUCGCCUCCCGGUCU